UAUUAAUGUAUUUAUUUUGUUGUCCCCCCUCCCUGCUUGAUACAUGGCAGGGAGGAGGGCUCUCCUUCCCUGGUGGUCCAGUGGCAUUGGCAGUUCAGUGGGGGGAGGAGGAGGGCCGGCAGGAAGCAUUUACUUACCUCUCCUGCAGCUCCUGUCAGCUCUCUCCUCCUCCGCGCCGGUCCGUGCAGCUCCUCUGUCAGCUCCCAGUGUAAGUC